rnacentral:rRNA from 1 species
AUGAACGCUAGCUACAGGCUUAACACAUGCAAGUCGCGGGGAAACGACAUCGAAAGCUUGCUUUUGAUGGGCGUCGACCGGCGCACGGGUGAGUAACGCGUAUCCAACCUGCCCAUCACUUGGGGAUAACCUUGCGAAAGUAAGACUAAUACCCAAUGAUAUCUCUAGAAGACAUCUGAAAGAGAUUAAAGAUUUAUCGGUGAUGGAUGGGGAUGCGUCUGAUUAGCUUGUUGGCGGGGUAACGGCCCACCAAGGCAACGAUCAGUAGGGGUUCUGAGAGGAAGGUCCCCCACAUUGGAACUGAGACACGGUCCAAACUCCUACGGGAGGCAGCAGUGAGGAAUAUUGGUCAAUGGGCGAGAGCCUGAACCAGCCAAGUAGCGUGCAGGAAGACGGCCCUAUGGGUUGUAAACUGCUUUUAUAAGGGAAUAAAGUGAGAGUCGUGACUCUUUUUGUAUGUACCUUAUGAAUAAGGACCGGCUAAUUCCGUG